CCUACGGGGGGCAGCAGUGGGGAAUAUUGGACAAUGGGGGGAACCCUGAUCCAGCCAUGCCGCGUGUGUGAAGAAGGCCCUCGGGUUGUAAAGCACUUUCAGUGAGGAAGAACGCCUGGUGGUUAAUACCCAUCAGGAAAGACAUCACUCACAGAAGAAGCACCGGCUAACUCCGUGCCAGCAGCCGCGGUAAUACGGAGGGUGCGAGCGUUAAUCGGAAUUACUGGGCGUAAAGCGCGCGUAGGUGGCUUGAUAAGCCGGUUGGUGAAAGCCCCGGGCUCAACCUGGGAACGGCAUCCGGAACUGGCAAGCUAGAGUGCAGGAGAGGAAGGUAGAAUUCCCGGUGUAGCGGUGAAAUGCGUAGAGAUCGGGAGGAAUACCAGUGGCGAGGGCGGCCUUCUGGACUGAAACUGACACUGAGGUGCGAAAGCGUGGGUAGCAAACAGGAUUAGAUACCCGAGUAGUC
rnacentral:rRNA from 1 species